CUCAUUUUCAGACCUGGAACAACCAGAAAAUUCUGGAGAUAGAGAGAAAAAAAGCCUUGGAGAAGAAAAAUCAAUUUUGACCAAAAUCCGAGCCCCGAAUCCCGAAGCCCAUGAAGGGAAAAGUGUUGUACGCUGCGUUGUCUUCAAUUUGAGUUAAAAAUCAACCAAGGAGGAGGGUGAUAACGUGGUGGCUGAAUUCUUAAGGUACACCCAGAUGAUAUGAAGUUAUUAUAGCGGAUGUUCCGGCAGAGUUGGCAAGCUCCAUUUGCUCCUGGAGUGCUACCGAGUCAGAGUUUAUACGUAUGUUUUUUCUGGAUUGAUGUUAGAGGCUUUGCAGACAGAGUCGUGGGUAUAGUAUGUCAGUUGUGUAUGCGGCUUCAUCAGCCGAUAUGUCCUUCUGUAUUAUGCGUUAAAUUCUGUAUGAUCAUAGAUUCUGUUUGAUUUGGAAAACAUCGGACAAGAAUAUUUUGAGAGUUUACUGU